AUCCCUGUUGAUAGGGAAUAUAUGCACUGGGUCCAUCUCCUAAGCGGAAGGCCAGCGGUUCGAAUCCGCUCAGGAACGCCA
rnacentral:tRNA from 1 species